UUUAGGUAUAAAAUUAAAAAUCAUAAUAAUAAAUACAAAUUAGGACAAUAUUACGUCAAGUUAGUCUUUUGUUUUAGGUUUUUUAUGGUUUCUCGAUAAAUCCAAUAACACUGUUGAACUACGUUUUGUUGGUAGCAGUGUUAAACCAUUUUUCUUUGUAACCAUUUCACUCAUUUUACUAUGUACAUUAUUUAAAGUAUUUAGUUCUUUUGACCAUUCUGGAUAUUGUUUUUCGUCUAUGAUGUAUGUUAAGUUAAUCAUUUUUCUAAGCAAUUCUCGACAUUGAGCUGGUAUAUUUGAAAUAUUUUCAUUAGCAUUGGAGCUUGGAUUAACGGAACUAGUGGCAUUUUCAUUGAUAUUGGAACUUGGAUGAACACAAUAAUUGAAUACCGAGGAUCAGGUGAUAUGAAAACAUUAUUUUGAAAUGUUUGUGGUAAAUCUUCAAAUGAACAUCCUGGUACGUAAAUGAAUAAUGCACAAAUAUGUUUACACGGCCAAUGAUAUUUUUUAAAAUCCAAACAUGUGCAACUUGGUAAUUGAAAAUUUACCAUGUACAAGAUGUUCUGAGCUGUAGCAUAUCGAGAAUAUAUAUGUUUAACAAAUGUUUCUGGCCGUCCAUGUAAAAAUAAAGGAAGCCAAGUUUUGAUGAAGUAUUCCUGUGCCUUUGGAUUCUUCAGCCAUGCUUCAGUCAACUCCAUUUUCUCAACUUUUUCAGUGAAUUCAGCGUCGUCUCUACUAUCAGCAAUGUUUCUCCAAAGUGUUAAAAGUUCACCUCGAAAAUCCUUAACACUAAGAUUACCUAGCUUAUUUGUCCAUCUUAACCAAGCUUGUUCUCUAUGAAAAUCACAUAUAUAACUUGGACAGUUGAA